rnacentral:rRNA from 1 species
GAUGAACGCUGGCGGCGUGCCUAAUACAUGCAAGUCGAGCGAACGGACGAGAAGCUUGCUUCUCUGAUGUUAGCGGCGGACGGGUGAGUAACACGUGGAUAACCUACCUAUAAGACUGGGAUAACUUCGGGAAACCGGAGCUAAUACCGGAUAAUAUUUUGAACCGCAUGGUUCAAAAGUGAAAGACGGUCUUGCUGUCACUUAUAGAUGGAUCCGCGCUGCAUUAGCUAGUUGGUAAGGUAACGGCUUACCAAGGCAACGAUGCAUAGCCGACCUGAGAGGGUGAUCGGCCACACUGGAACUGAGACACGGUCCAGACUCCUACGGGAGGCAGCAGUAGGGAAUCUUCCGCAAUGGGCGAAAGCCUGACGGAGCAACGCCGCGUGAGUGAUGAAGGUCUUCGGAUCGUAAAACUCUGUUAUUAGGGAAGAACAUAUGUGUAAGUAACUGUGCACAUCUUGACGGUACCUAAUCAGAAAGCCACGGCUAACUACGUGCCAGCAGCCGCGGUAAUACGUAGGUGGCAAGCGUUAUCCGGAAUUAUUGGGCGUAAAGCGCGCGUAGGCGGUUUUUUAGUCUGAUGUGAAAGCCCACGGCUCAACCGUGGAGGGUCAUUGGAAACUGGAAAACUUGAGUGCAGAAGAGGAAAGUGGAAUUCCAUGUGUAGCGGUGAAAUGCGCAGAGAUAUGGAGGAACACCAGUGGCGAAGGCGACUUUCUGGUCUGUAACUGACGCUGAUGUGCGAAAGCGUGGGGAUCAAACAGGAUUAGAUACCCUGGUAGUCCACGCCGUAAACGAUGAGUGCUAAGUGUUAGGGGGUUUCCGCCCCUUAGUGCUGCAGCUAACGCAUUAAGCACUCCGCCUGGGGAGUACGACCGCAAGGUUGAAACUCAAAGGAAUUGACGGGGACCCGCACAAGCGGUGGAGCAUGUGGUUUAAUUCGAAGCAACGCGAAGAACCUUACCAAAUCUUGACAUCCUUUGACAACUCUAGAGAUAGAGCUUUCCCCUUCGGGGGACAAAGUGACAGGUGGUGCAUGGUUGUCGUCAGCUCGUGUCGUGAGAUGUUGGGUUAAGUCCCGCAACGAGCGCAACCCUUAAGCUUAGUUGCCAUCAUUAAGUUGGGCACUCUAAGUUGACUGCCGGUGACAAACCGGAGGAAGGUGGGGAUGACGUCAAAUCAUCAUGCCCCUUAUGAUUUGGGCUACACACGUGCUACAAUGGACAAUACAAAGGGCAGCGAGACCGCGAGGUCAAGCAAAUCCCAUAAAGUUGUUCUCAGUUCGGAUUGUAGUCUGCAACUCGACUACAUGAAGCUGGAAUCGCUAGUAAUCGUAGAUCAGCAUGCUACGGUGAAUACGUUCCCGGGUCU